UACGAGGGGGGCGAGCGUUGUUCGGAAUCAUUGGGCGUAAAGCGCGUGUAGGCGGCCCGGUAAGUCCGCUGUGAAAGUCCAGGGCUCAACCCUGGGAUGCCGGUGGAUACUGUCGGGCUCGAGUCCGGAAGAGGCGAGUGGAAUUCCUGGUGUAGCGGUGAAAUGCGCAGAUAUCAGGAGGAACACCAAUGGCGAAGGCAGCUCGCUGGGACGUGACUGACGCUGAGACGCGAAAGCGUGGGGAGCAAACAGG
rnacentral:rRNA from 1 species